rnacentral:rRNA from 1 species
UAAGACCUCAAAUCAGGUGGGACUACCUGCUGAACUUAAGCAUAUCAAUAAGCAGAGGAAAAGAAACUAACCAGGAUUCCCCUAGUAAUGGCGAGUGAAGAGGGAAAAGCCCAWAUKUGUAAUCUGGCUCUUUUUAAAGGAGUCUGAGUUGUAAUUUUGAGAACUGUUUUCAGUGCUGGGCCAUGUACAAGUCUGUUGAAAAACAGCAUCAUUGAGGGUGAUAAUCCCGUUCAUGAUAUGGACUACCAAGUGCAAUAUGAUACAGUCUCUAAGAGUCAAGUUGUUUGGGAAUGCAGCUCAAAAAGGGUGGUAAAUUCCAUCUAAGGCUAAAUAUUGAUGAGAGACCGAUAGCAAACAAGUACCGUGAGGGAAAGAUGAAAAGAACUUUGGAAAGAGAGUUAGCAGUACGUGAAAUUGUUAAAAGGGAAACAAUUGAAGUUAGUCUUGUUAUUAUUGGUUCAGCUUUAAAUAGUGUAUUCCAAUUUUUAACAGAUCAACAUCAAUUCUUGGGUGUUGGAUAAGGGUCUUGUGAAAUGUAGCAGCUUUUCUGCUGUGUUAUAGUCUGAAACUUUGAUACAGUGCCUAGGAUUGAGGAAUGCAGUGAGC